AUUGAACGCUGGCGGCAGGCCUAACACAUGCAAGUCGAACGAGUGGCGGACGGGUGAGUAAUGUCUGAAAAAGUGCCCGAUGGAGGGGGAUAACUACUGGAAACGGUAGCAUAUACCGAAUACUCUCGGAUGCGCCCAGAUGGGAUUCGCUAAGAGGGGGGGUAAAGGCUCCCCUAGGCGACGAUCCCUAGCUGGUCUGAGAGGAUGACCAGCACCACUGGAACUGAGACACGGUCCAGACUCCUACGGGAGGCAGCAGUGGGGAAUAUUGCACAAUGGGCGCAAGCCUGAUGCAGCCAUGCCGCGUGUAUGAAGAAGGCCUUCGGGUUGUAAAGUACUUUCAGCGGGGAGGCGUUACCCGCAGAAGAAGCACCGGCUAACUCCGUGCCAGCAGCCGCGGUAAUAC
rnacentral:rRNA from 1 species